AUUGAACGCUGGCGGCAGGCCUAACACAUGCAAGUCGAGCGAGCGGCGGGCGGGUGAGUAAUGUAUCGGGACUGCUCGAUGGAGGGGGAUAACUAAAGGGAACGGUAGCUCAUACCGCAUACUGUCUGGUUACCCAUAUGGGAUUAGCUAGUGGGUAAGGUAAUGGCUUACCUAGGCGACGGUCCCUAGCUGGUCUGAGAGGAUGAUCAGCCACACUGGGACGGAGACACGGCCCAGACUCCUACGGAGGCAGCAGUGGGGAAUAUUGCACAAUGGGCACAAGCCUGAUGCAGCCAUGCCGCGUGUAUGAAGAAGGCCUUCGGGUUGUAAAGUACUUUCAGUCGGGAGGCGUUACCGACAGAAGAAGCACCGGCUAACUCCGUGCCAGCAGCCGCGGUAAUAC
rnacentral:rRNA from 1 species